GGAGAGGUCGCAUAGUGGUCUAGUGCGCUUGUUUCGAAAACAAGUAGGCUCGCAAGAGCCUCGUGGGUUCGAAUCCCACCCUCUCCGCCA
rnacentral:tRNA from 1 species